rnacentral:rRNA from 1 species
UUCCGGUUGAUCCUGCCGGACCUGACUGCUAUCGGAUUGAUACUAAGCCAUGCGAGUCUUUGUAGUAAUACAAGGCAGACGGCUCAGUAACACGUAGUCAACCUACCCUAUGGACGAGAAUAAUCUCGGGAAACUGAGCAUAAUUCUUGAUAGAUCAUAAUGCCUGGAAUGGUUUAUGGUUAAAAUGAUUCGUCGCCAUAGGAUGGGACUGCGGCCUAUCAGCUUGUUGGUGAGGUAAUGGCCCACCAAGGCGAUUACAGGUACGGGCUCUGAGAGGAGAAGCCCGGAGAUGGGUACUGAGACACGGACCCAGGCCCUAUGGGGCGCAGCAGGCGAGAAAACUUUGCAAUGUGCGAAAGCACGACAAGGUUAAUCCGAGUGAUUUCUGCUAAAGAAAUCUUUUGCCAGUCGUAAAAACGCUGGUGAAUAAGGGGUGGGCAAGUUCUGGUGUCAGCCGCCGCGGUAAAACCAGCACCUCAAGUGGUCAGGAUGAUUAUUGGGCCUAAAGCAUCCGUAGCCGGCUUUGUAAGUUUUCGGUUAAAUCCAUGUGCUCAACGCAUGGGCUGCCGAAAAUACUGCAUAGCUAGGGAGUGGAAGAGGUAGACGGUACUCAGUAGGUAGGGGUAAAAUCCUUUGAUCUAUUGAUGACCACCUGUGGCGAAGGCGGUCUACCAGAACACGUUCGACGGUGAGGGAUGAAAGCUGGGGGAGCAAACCGGAUUAGAUACCCGGGUAGUCCCAGCUGUAAACGAUGCAGACUCGAUGAUGCAUUGGCAUAAUAGCCAUUGCAGUGUCGCAGGGAAGCCGUUAAGUCUGCCGCCUGGGAAGUACGUACGCAAGUAUGAAACUUAAAGGAAUUGGCGGGGGAGCACCACAAGGGGUGAAGCCUGCGGUUCAAUUGGAGUCAACGCCGGG